CUACGGGCGGCAGCAGUCGAGAAUCUUCCGCAAUGGACGAAAGUCUGACGGAGCGACGCCGCGUGCGGGAUGAAGGCCUUCGGGUUGUAAACCGCUGUCAGUGGGGAGGAAAUGCAUCAGGGUUCUCCCUGGUGUUUGACCGAUCCGCAGAGGAAGCGCAGGCUAAGUUCGUGCCAGCAGCCGCGGUAACACGAACUGCGCGAACGUUAUUCGGAAUCACUGGGCUUAAAGAGUUCGUAGGCGGCCUUUCAAGUCGGGUGUGAAAUCCCUCGGCUCAACCGAGGAAUUGCGCCUGAUACUGUUGGGCUUGAGGGGGAUAGGGGUGAGCGGAACUGAUGGUGGAGCGGUGAAAUGCGUUGAUAUCAUCAGGAACACCGGUGGCGAAGGCGGCUCACUGGAUCUCUUCUGACGCUGAGGAACGAAAGCUAGGGGAGCGAACGGGAUUAGAUACCCGCGUAGUC
rnacentral:rRNA from 1 species